rnacentral:rRNA from 1 species
GAACUUAAGCAUAUCAAUAAGCGGAGGAAAAGAAACUAACAAGGAUUCCCCUAGUAACUGCGAGUGAAGCGGGAAAAGCUCAAAUUUAAAAUCUGGCGGUCUUUGGCCGUCCGAGUUGUAGUCUGGAGAAGUGCUUUCCGCGCUGGACCGUGUAUAAGUCUCUUGGAACAGAGCGUCAUAGAGGGUGAGAAUCCCGUCUUUGACACGGACUACCAGUGCUUUGUGAUGCGCUCUCAAAGAGUCGAGUUGUUUGGGAAUGCAGCUCAAAAUGGGUGGUGAAUUCCAUCUAAAGCUAAAUAUUGGCGAGAGACCGAUAGCGAACAAGUACCGUGAGGGAAAGAUGAAAAGCACUUUGGAAAGAGAGUUAAACAGUACGUGAAAUUGCUGAAAGGGAAACGCUUGAAGUCAGUCGCGUUGUCCGGAACUCAGCCUUGCUUUUGCUUGGUGCACUUUCCGGAUGACGGGUCAGCAUCGAUUUUGACCGUCGGAAAAGGGCUGGAGUAAUGUGGCACCUCCGGGUGUGUUAUAGACUCUGGUCGCAUACGGCGGUUGGGAUCGAGGAACGCAGCGCGCCGCAAGGCAGGGGUUCGCCCACUUUCGCGCUUAGGAUGCUGGCAUAAUGGCUUUAAACGACCCGUCUUGAAACACGGACCAAGGAGUCUAACAUACCUGCGAGUGUUUGGGUGGAAAACCCGAGCGCGUAAUGAAAGUGAAAGUUGAGACUCCUGUCGUGGGAGGCAUCGACGCCCGGACCUGACGUUCUCUGACGGAUCCGCGGUAGAGCAUGUAUGUUGGGACCCGAAA